ensembl:lincRNA
CUGUCCCAGGGCUGAACAAGUACCUGGAGCCAGAGGACUCUGAAGAACUGGUUUUAAAGAGUAAUUUUUGUCUCCUUCUCCCUUUCUACUUUCAGGUGAGUCACCUCGUCUUCAGUCAAGUGACAAUACCAUUCUGGGUUAUGUCUACCUUGAUAAUGGCCUAAUGUUAGGAUCCAGUGAGAUGGAUUGCAAAGUACCCUAUGAAUUCAAGGGCUUCGAGCUCAUCAGCCAAGCAAAUGGAAUGUGGCAGGAACCCCACUCUUCAGUUAAGGCUUACAUGUUACCAGAGCAUGCAGAAGAGGAAAAGAAAGAGACCAGAAUGGAGGCAACUAGAAUAAAGGAGCUUGAACAAGAAGACCAGCCACCCCUCUGAAGUCAGUGGACUCCCAUGGUUUCAAGCAUGAUGCCUCCAUGCUGUGGUACAAGUCUAUUCCCAAGGCCCUGUUUCCUGAUUUACAUGUAUUGCUCUUCAUCAAUUUAAAAAUUAUUUUGUGGUAUCUACUCUGCUAUGGAUUAUGGCUGAAAUAUCCAGACAAGGUCCCUGUCCUAGCAAUACGGUACACAAAUGAGCAGGGACUACAGGUUUAAAACAAUUAAAAGAGCAAUGUAGGUUUCCAUGGAGAAGUUGACGAACAUAGUCGGAUGUCAUAUAGCAAGAAAAGUUAACAUCAACCAGGGCUUCCCAGAGUAUGGUCUGAAAGCUACCUGGUCAGUAACCCUUGGGGAUAUUUGUUAGUUUAAAAAAAAAAAAAAUGCUUGGACCCACCUCCAGAUACUCUGGGGGUGGGCUUUUUGAAGAAGUAGUAGAUAUUCUUAACAAACUCUUUAGAUCAUACUUUUGCAUACUGAAGUUGGGAAUUAUUGGUGUGUGUGUGUGUGUGUGUGUGUGUGUGUGUGUGUGGUGACAGUAGGAGAGAGGGUAUCAAGAAAGGCCACCAUGAAGAAAUAGUAUGUGUGCAAGAUGAAGGCCAAAAACUUAGGCUUAAAGUAAGGAUACUUGUGCAAGAGCUUCCCGGUAGAUAACAGCAUAUGUAAAAUUCUAAAGCCAGUAGAAGAAGGUAAACAGUCCUCUUGCUGGAGAAUAAGGAAAAAGCUAGAGGGGGCAGAUAUAGGAGCAGAACCUCAGAUGCAAGGGCAUGCCACAAUUGUUAAGGAUUUUCGAUUUUAUCUUAAGCCACUGAAGGGCUUCAGGCAAAGAAGGAGCAUAGUCAGGUUUUCAUUGAAAAAUAAAAAGGUAUUUAUUCUUCUUCUACCCACUUAAGCCUCCAUGUUGCAUCACCACUUCCUCAUAUCAGGGAGAUCAUAUGAUAGUUGUCUUUCUCUGCUUGACUUAUUUCGCUAAGCAUGAUACGCUCUAGUUCCAUCCAUGUUGUUGCAAAUGGCAAGAUUUCAUUUCUUUUGAUGGCUGCAUAGUAUUCCAAGAAGAAUAAAUAAAACAAGAUGGGAUUGGGAGGGAGACAAACCAUAAGUGACUCUUAAUCUCACAAAACAAACUGAGGGUUGCCGGGGGGAGGGGGUUUGGGAGAAGGGGGUGGGAUUAUGGACAUUGGGGAGGGUAUGUGAUUUGGUGAGUGCUGUGAAGUGUGUAAACCUGGUGAUUCACAGACCUGUACCCCUGGGGAUAAAAAUAUAUGUUUAUAAAAAAAUAAAAAAAAAUAAAAAAAUAAAAAAAUAAAAAUAAAAAAAUAAAAAGGUAGCGUGAAUGGCUUGGGAUCUUUAGAGAGGAUGUGAGGCUAUAAGGAGAAAGCUGUGAUGAUAACUGGGUAAGAAAUAAUGCUACCUUGAAUUAGGGUCAGUGGCAAUGAGAAGGAGAAAAAAAUGGAUCCCAC